rnacentral:rRNA from 1 species
UAGGGAAUUUUGCGCAAUGGGCGAAAGCCUGACGCAGCAACACCGCGUGUAGGAUGAAGGAUUUCGGUCUGUAAACUACUGUCAGCAGGGAAUAAAUUGACUGUACCUGCAGAGGAAGCAUCGGCUAACUACGUGCCAGCAGCCGCGGUAAGACGUAGGAUGCAAGCGUUGUCCGGAAUUAUUGGGCGUAAAGAGUUCGUAGGCGGUUUGUUAAGUCUGGUGUUAAAGACGGGAGCUCAACUCCCGCAUGGCAUCGGAUACUGGCAGGCUAGAGUGUGGUAGAGGUCUCGGGAAUUCCAGGUGUAGCGGUGAAAUGCGUAGAUAUCUGGAGGAACACCGGUGGCGAAAGCGCGAGACUGGGCCAUAACUGACGCUGAGGAACGAAAGCCAGGGGAGCAAA